UACGUAGGGUGCAAGCGUUAAUCGGAAUUACUGGGCGUAAAGCGUGCGCAGGCGGUUCGUCGUGUCCGAUGUGAAAGCCCCGGGCUCAACCUGGGAAUGGCAUUGGAAACUGGCGGACUCGAGUGUGGCAGAGGGGGGUGGAAUUCCGCGUGUAGCAGUGAGAUGCGUAGAGAUGCGGAGGAACACCGAUGGCGAAGGCAGCCCCCUGGGCUAACACUGACGCUCAGGCACGAAAGCGUGGGGAGCAAACAGG
rnacentral:rRNA from 1 species